UGGGGAAUCUUGCGCAAUGGGCGAAAGCCUGACGCAGCAACGCCGCGUGCGGGAUGAAGGCCUUCGGGUUGUAAACCGCUUUCAGCAGGGACGAACGUGACGGUACCUGCAGAAGAAGCCCCGGCUAACUACGUGCCAGCAGCCGCGGUAAUACGUAGGGGGCAAGCGUUAUCCGGAUUUAUUGGGCGUAAAGAGCGCGUAGGCGGUCUGUUAAGCGAGAUGUGAAAACCGGGGGCUCAACCCGUGGCCUGCAUCUCGAACUGGCAGACUUGAGUCUGGUAGAGGAAAGUGGAAUUCCUGGUGUAGCGGUGAAAUGCGCAGAUAUCAGGAGGAACACCAGUGGCGAAGGCGGCUUUCUGGGCCACGACUGACGCUGAGGCGCGAAAGCUAGGGGAGCGAACAGG
rnacentral:rRNA from 2 species